rnacentral:rRNA from 1 species
UGGGGAAUUUUGGACAAUGGGGGCAACCCUGAUCCAGCAAUGCCGCGUGUGUGAAGAAGGCCUUCGGGUUGUAAAGCACUUUUGUCCGGAAAGAAAACAUCCUGGCUAAUACCUGGGGUGGAUGACGGUACCGGAAGAAUAAGCACCGGCUAACUACGUGCCAGCAGCCGCGGUAAUACGUAGGGUGCGAGCGUUAAUCGGAAUUACUGGGCGUAAAGCGUGCGCAGGCGGUUUGCUAAGACCGAUGUGAAAUCCCCGGGCUCAACCUGGGAACUGCAUUGGUGACUGGCAAGCUAGAGUAUGGCAGAGGGGGGUAGAAUUCCACGUGUAGCAGUGAAAUGCGUAGAGAUGUGGAGGAAUACCGAUGGCGAAGGCAGCCCCCUGGGCCAAUACUGACGCUCAUGCACGAAAGCGUGGGGAGCAAACAG